rnacentral:lncRNA from 1 species
UGACACAAACAUCUUCCCAUGUGUUUCUGUAUUUGUAAAUUCUAUUCACUCCUAAACGGCUUUAAAGCAAGCCUUCAGUUUAUUUUUAUACCUGCCUCCACUUCACUGUGGGCACUUGUUUUUCAGCCUGCAACCUGUUGUAAUUUAACAGACAACCAAAAGGCCUUGUAAGAAGGUUGUUCUGGAACAGCUUUUCUGGAGGAGGUCUGUCUACAGAGGGACUUGCAGAGGGGGGAUUGUCAAGAAAGAAGCCUCCUUCUCUAACAAGGGGCAGUCUGAGAGAGAUGACUUUUGUUUCGCGCCACCCAAAUUCCAUUUCUUUAUCCUUUAGUCCCAGGUUGUUCUCCAACUCCUGGACUCAAGGGAUCCUCCCACCUCAGCCUCCCAAAAUGCCAGGAUUACAGGCAUGAGCCACUGUUCCUGACCGAAAAGCGUGUUUUAAACUGAUUUUUUUUUUUUUCCCAGAGACAGGGUCUCACUCUGUCACCCAGGCUGGAGUGCAGUGGUACGAUUCUGACAUAAGUAUGGAUUUGCUAGACUAGCUGCAUUUACAGAGCAUCUUUCUAGAUGGAACAUUUCUAUUAGAUGCUAUGGAACAUUACAAAGGAAAUAGAAGGCACCGUAAAGCCUAAAAGAGAGAGAGCUCAUGGCAUAUAUUCCACACAACAGCCUUGAACAUAGCCUAGAAUUAAAUUCCAUUUAUUUGUUCCAUUCCAUCUUAUCCUUCACAGUGGAGAAAGAACAGUCAUUUCGUACCCUGUGGUUCUGUGUGGUCAUUUCUUUUUAAGGUCUAGAUUAGGAUUGUUAACAGUCCUCUGUGUGCAGUGCCUUAUAAUUUAUAGAAUACAUUCACAAACGUGAUUCCAUUUGAGUUAGAUCAAAUGGAUGUUAUCUCCGUUUUACAGAAGAGAACAUAGGAAACAGGUCACAGUCACACAAACAAAGGGACAGACUAAGGACAUAAAUCUAGGUGUUCUGUUAUGUUUCCUAGAGUGAUGGAAUUUCCUCUACACAUCACAUCAUUGGCACGUGAAAUUUUACUUUAUGGGGCUGGCUUCCUUGCA